UACAGAGGUCUCGAGCGUUAGGCGGAAUCACUGGGCUUAAAGCGUGUGUAGGCGGAUCGGUAAGUACCUUGUGAAAUCCCACAGCUUAACUGUGGAACUGCUUGGUAUACUGCCAGUCUUGAGCCACUUAGGGGCUACCGGAACAAAUGGUGGAGCCGGUGAAAUGCGUAGAUAUCAUUUGGAACGCCAAUGGUGAAAACAGGUAGCUGGGAGUGUGCUGACGCUGAGACACGAAAGCCAGGGGGAGCAAACGGGG
rnacentral:rRNA from 1 species